rnacentral:rRNA from 1 species
UACCCGCUGAACUUAAGCAUAUCAAUAAGCGGAGGAAAAGAAACUAACAAGGAUUCCCCUAGUAACUGCGAGUGAAGCGGGAAAAGCUCAAAUUUAAAAUCUGGUAGUCUCUGGCUGCCCGAGUUGUAAUCUGGAGAAGUGUUUUCUGUGCUGGGCCGUGUACAAGUCUCUUGGAAUAGAGCGUCAUAGAGGGUGAGAAUCCCGUCUUUGACACGGACAUCCAGUGCUCUGUGAUGCACUCUCAAAGAGUCGAGUUGUUUGGGAAUGCAGCUCAAAAUGGGUGGUAAAUUCCAUCUAAAGCUAAAUAUUGGCAAGAGACCGAUAGCGAACAAGUACCGUGAGGGAAAGAUGAAAAGAACUUUGGAAAGAGAGUUAAACAGUACGUGAAAUUGUUGAAAGGGAAACGCUUGAAGUCAGUCGCGUCUAGCAAGGAUCAGCCUUUCUCGGAAGGUGUAUUUCUUGCUUGACGGGUCAACAUCAAUUUUGAUUACUGGAAAAAGGCCAGAGGAAGGUGGCACCUUCGGGUGUGUUAUAGCCUUUGGUCAUAUACAGUAGUUGGGAUUGAGGAAUUCAGCAUGCCUUCAUGGCUGGGGUUCGCCCACAUUCAUGCUUAGGAUGUUGGCAUAAUGGCUUUAAGCGACCCGUCUUGAAACACGGACCA